CCUACGGGGGGCAGCAGUGAGGAAUAUUGGUCAAUGGACGAGAGUCUGAACCAGCCAAGUAGCGUGAAGGAUGACUGCCCUAUGGGUUGUAAACUUCUUUUAUAUGGGAAUAAAAUGUUCCACGUGUGGGAGUUUGUAUGUACCAUAUGAAUAAGGAUCGGCUAAUUCCGUGCCAGCAGCCGCGGUAAUACGGAGGAGCCGAGCGUUAUCCGGAUUUAUUGGGUUUAAGGGGAGCGUAGGUGGAUUGUUAAGUCAGUUGUGAAAGUUUGCGGCUCAACCGGAAAAUUGCAGUUGAAACUGGCAGUCUUGAGUACAGUAGAGGUGGGCGGAAUUCGUGGUGUAGCGGUGAAAUGCUUAGAUAUCACGAAGAACUCCGAUUGCGAAGGCAGCUCACUGGACUGCAACUGACACUGAGGCUCGAAAGUGUGGGUAUCAAACAGGAUUAGAUACCCGAGUAGUC
rnacentral:rRNA from 1 species